rnacentral:lncRNA from 1 species
AAUUCCUAAUUUAAUUAAACUGUUUGAUUUUUUCUUUUUAAUUUUGAUUUAGAAAAAAUCCUACAUUCUUGUUCUGGAAAUCAACAGGAGUUAUCAAAAGCUUGUUUUCUGAAAUAAGACUAACAUUACCACAGCUCUUCAAAAAUGCAAAAUCUACAAGCCAAUUACUAUCCAUGUGUCUUUAAUGGGACAUAGGUGGUCUUGAGAACACAGCCAGA